rnacentral:lncRNA from 10 species
CAAACUUCCUGCCUCCCAGCUUACAAACAGAGCAGUGGGUCCACCCAUCUUGAUCCUGGGGUACUGACAAGAAAUAUUUUGGAGAAGUUAGAUAGGGUAGAGGCAGAAGUAGACGCAAUUAAACAUGAAGGAUUGUGAAGGCAAAAGAUGAACCAGCCAGCCUAGUCUCUGGAUGCAUAAGCUCCAAGUGUGGAGGAGACCCGGAGAGAAAAGCAGACUGUUCUCUGUGUUUACCUGUAAGCACAGGCCGCAACCUGCCAUGCUGUUUUUAAAUGCCCAAGAGCUGGUGACAAGAGGGUUUCCCUUUGCCAUCUGGACCUGAUUGCCUUAGAGGCAGAACAAGUAGGCAAGAGAAAAGAAGAGGUAUCCAGAUUGGAAAGGAAGAAAUAAAACUGUCUCUGUUUGACAGUUGUCAUAACCUUGUACAUAGAAGAUUAUGAAGAAGCUACCAAAAACUAUUUGAAUGACUAAACAAGUUUAGUAUGGUUGCAGGAUACAAGAUCAAUAUGCAAAAACCAGCUGUAGUUCUUCUAUAUGUUGAAAAGAAGAAAAUUUAGAACGAAAUUAAGAAAAAUUCAUUCACAAGAGCAUCAAAAAGGAUAAAAAAUAAGGCCAGGCAUGGUGGCUCAUGCCAGUUAAUCCCAGCACUAUGGGAGGCUGAGGAAGGAGGAUCACUCAAGCCCAGGAGUUUGAGACCACCUGAGCAACACGGCAAGACUCUAUCUCUACCAAAAAUUUUAAAAAAUUAGCCAGGUGUAGUGGCCAUGCCUGCAGUCCUAGUUACUCAGGAGGUUGAGGUGGGAGGAUCACUUGAACUCAGGAGAUUGAGGCUGCAGUGAGCUAUGAUCUGGCCACUGUACUCCAGCCUGGGUGUCAGAGAGAGAGACCCUGUCUCUAAAUGAAAAUAAAUAAAUACAUAAAAUUUUAAAAAAGAAUGAAAUACUUAGGAAUACAUUUAACCAAAGAAGUAUGAGGCUUUUUACAUUGCAAAACUAUAUAACAUUGUUGAAAGAAACUAAAGAAGACCUAAAUAAAUGGAAAGACAUCCCAUGUUUAUAGAUGGAAAAGUUUAAUAUUAAGAUAGCAAAACUUCUCAAAUUGAUCUACAGAUUCAAUGCCAUCCUUUCAAAAUACCAGCUAACUUUUUUGCAGAAGUUAACAAACCAAUCCUAAAAUUCAUAUGGAAAUUCAAGAGAAUCAGAGCAGUUAACCUUCAAAAAGAACAAAGUUGGAGGGUUCAUACUUCCUGAGUACUAAAACUUAGUACAAAGCUAUAGUAAUCAGAUACUAUGAAAUUGACAUAAGGACAGACAUAUAGAUCACUUGACUAGGCUUGACAGUCCAGAAAUAAACCUUCACAUUUCUGAUCAAUUGAUUUUCUACGAGGCAGCCAACACAAUUCUGUUUUAAAUAUGGUGGUAGGACAACGGAGUAGCUACAUUCAAAAGAAUGAAGUGAGACCCUUAACUCACACCAUAAACAAAAACUAAUUCAAAAUGGAUCAAAGACCUAAAUGCAAGCAUUAAAACUAUAAAACUCUUAGAAGAAAACAUAGGAGGAAAUCUUCAUGACCUUGGAUUAGUCAAUGGAUUCUAAGAUAUGAUACCCAAAGCAUAAGCAACAAAAGAAAAAAUAGAAAAAUUGGACUUUAUUUUUUUAAGAGAUGGGGUCUUGUUAUGUUGCCCAGGCUGGACUUGAAAUCCUAGGCUCAAGUGAUCCUCCUACCUCAGCCUCCUGAGUUGCUGGGACUACAAACAUGUACCGCCAUGCCCAGCUAAAUUGGACUUUAAAAUGGAAAACUUUUGUGCUUCAAAGACGUCAAAAAAGUGAAGACAACCCACAGAAUGAGAGAAAAUUUUCACAAAUUGUAUAUCUGAUAAGAGACUUGUGCCUAGAAUCUAUAAAGAAUGAUUACCACUCAAUAAUAAAAAGACAAAUAACCCCAUUAAAAACAGGCAAAGGAUCUGAAUAGACGUUUCUCCAAAGAAGAUAAAUAAAUGGCCGAUAAACACUUGAAAAGAUGCUCAACAUCAUUUGCCAUCAGGGAAAAGCAAAUCAAAACCAUGAUGAGAUGAUGAGAUACCACUUCACACCCACUAGGGUGGCUAUAAUAAAAAAGACAGAUCGUAAUAACUGUUGGCAAGGAGGUAGUGAAAUUCGAACCAUCAUCACACAUUGCUGGUGGGAAUGUAAAGUAGCACAGAGCUUUGAAAAACUGUUUGGCAGUUUCUCAAAAACUUAGAGUUACCAUAUGACUCAGCAACUUCCCUCGUAGGUAUAUAGAAGAGAAAUGAAAACAUAUGUCCACACAAAAACUUGUACAUGAAUGUUCAUAGCCGUAUUAUUCAUAAUAGCCAAAAGUGGAAAUCACCCAAAUGGUAAACUGAUGAGUGAAUAAAUAAAAUGUGCUUUAUACAUAUGAUGAAACAUUCUUUGUCAAUAAUGAAGAACUGAUCCCUGCCGCAACAUGGGGGAACUUAAAAGCAUGAUGUUAAGUGAAGGAAGUCAGAUUCAAAGGUCCAUGAUUCCAUUAUAAAUGGCAUUCCAUCUGUGGAAUUCCAUAUAUGGAACGUCUAGAAUAGGAACACUUCCUUUCUAUAGAGACAGAAAGGAAAUUAGGAGUUGCCAAGAGAGGAUGGGGAGACUGGUGGGUGAUGGCUGAGAAGGUGGCCGUGUUUCUUUUUGGGGUAACGAAAGUGUUCUGAAAUUGAUUGUAGUGAUGGCAGUACAACUCUGAAUUUACUGAAAGCCAUUGACUUGUACAUUUUAAAUUGGUGACUUGUACGGUGUACGAAUUACAUCUCAAUAAAGCUGGUUUUCUUUUC